rnacentral:rRNA from 1 species
AUGCAAGUCGAACGAAGUAGCAAUACUUAGUGGCAGACGGGUGAGUAACAUGUAGGUAUCUGCCCUUUGGCCUGGAAUAACACGAGGAAACUUGUGCUAAUACCGGAUAAGUCUUUACGGAGAAAGCUUUAUGCACCAUUGGAUGAGCCUGCACUUGAUUAGUUUGUUGGUGGGGUAAUGGCCUACCAAGACUGUGAUCAAUAGCUGAUUUGAGAGGAUGAUCAGCCACAUUGGGACUGAGACACGGCCCAAACUCCUACGGGAGGCAGCAGUGGGGAAUCUUGCACAAUGGAGGAAACUCUGAUGCAGCGAUGCCGCGUGAGUGAAGAAGGCCUUUGGGUUGUAAAGCUCUUUCGUCGGGGAAGAAAAUGACUGUACCCGAAUAAGAAGGUCCGGCUAACUUCGUGCCAGCAGCCGCGGUAAUACGAAGGGACCUAGCGUAGUUCGGAAUUACUGGGCUUAAAGAGUUCGUAGGUGGUUGAAAUAGUUGGUGGUGAAAUCCCAGAGCUUAACUCUGGAACUGCCAUCAAAACUUUUCAGCUAGAGUAUGAUAGAGGAAAGCAGAAUUUCUAGUGUAGAGGUGAAAUUCGUAGAUAUUAGAAAGAAUACCAAAUGCGAAGGCAGCUUUCUGGAUCAUUACUGACACUGAGGAACGAAAGCAUGGGUAGCGAAGAGGAUUAGAUACCCUCGUAGUCCAUGCCGUAAACGAUGUGUGUUAGACGUUGGAAAUUUAUUUUCAGUGUCG